UACGAAGGGGGCUAGCGUUGCUCGGAAUCACUGGGCGUAAAGCGCACGUAGGCGGAUUGUUAAGUCAGGGGUGAAAUCCUGGAGCUCAACUCCAGAACUGCCUUUGAUACUGGCGAUCUCGAGUCCGGGAGAGGUGAGUGGAACUGCGAGUGUAGAGGUGAAAUUCGUAGAUAUUAGGAAGAACACCAGUGGCGAAGGCGGCUCACUGGUCCGGUACUGACGCUGAGGUGCGAAAGCGUGGGGAGCAAACAGG
rnacentral:rRNA from 1 species